UACGUAGGGUGCGAGCGUUGUCCGGAAUUACUGGGCGUAAAGAGCUCGUAGGUGGUUUGUCGCGUUGUCCGUGAAAACUCACAGCUUAACUGUGGGCGUGCGGGCGAUACGGGCAGACUGGAGUACUGCAGGGGAGACUGGAAUUCCUGGUGUAGCGGUGGAAUGCGCAGAUAUCAGGAGGAACACCGGUGGCGAAGGCGGCUCCUGG
rnacentral:rRNA from 1 species